rnacentral:rRNA from 1 species
GCCCCAGUAACGGCGAGUGAAGCGGCAAUAGCUCAAAUUUGAAAUCUGGCCCUUUCAGGGUCCGAGUUGUAAUUUGCAGAGGGCGCUUUGGAGUCGGCAGCAGCCUAAGUUCCUUGGAACAGGUCAUCAUAGAGGGUGAGAAUCCCGUAUGUGGCUGCUUGUCUUCGCCGUGUAAAGCCCCUUCGAUGAGUCGAGUUGUUUGGGAAUGCAGCUCUAAAUGGGAGGUAAAUUUCUUCUAAAGCUAAAUAUUGGCCAGAGACCGAUAGCGCACAAGUAGAGUGAUCGAAAGAUGAAAAGUACUUUGGAAAGAGAGUCAAAAAGCACGUGAAAUUGUUGAAAGGGAAGCGCUUGCAGCCAGACGUGCCCGCAGUUGCUCAUCCGGGGAUUUCCCCGGUGCACUCUUCUGUGGGCAGGCCAGCAUCAGUUCGGGCGGUUGGAGAAAGACCUGUGUCACGUAGCUCUCUUCGGGGAGUGUUAUAGGGCAGGUGGAAUGCAACCAGCCUGAACUGAGGUCCGCGCAUCUGCUAGGAUGCUGGCGUAAUGGCUGUAAGCGGCCCGUCUUGAAACACGGACCAAGGAGUCUAACAUCUAUGCGAGUGUUUGGGUGUCAAGCCCGAGCGCGUAAUGAAAGUGAACGGAGGUGGGAACCCCUCGGGGUGCACCAUCGACCGAUCCUGAUGUCUUCGGAUGGAUUUGAGUAAGAGCAUAGCUGUUGGGACCCGAAAGAUGGUGAACUAUGCCUGAAUAGGGUGAAGCCAGAGGAAACUCUGGUGGAGGCUCGCAGCGGUUCUGACGUGCAAAUCGAUCGUCAAAUUUGGGCAUAGGGGCGAAAGACUAAUCGAACUAUCUAGUAGCUGGUUCCUGC